UACGUAGGGGGCGAGCGUUGUCCGGAUUUAUUGGGCGUAAAGAGCUCGUAGGCGGCUUAGCAAGUCGGGUGUGAAAACUCCAGGCUCAACCUGGAGACGCCACUCGAGACUGCUAUGGCUAGAGUCCGGUAGGGGACCACGGAAUUCCUGGUGUAGCGGUGAAAUGCGCAGAUAUCAGGAGGAACACCGGUGGCGAAGGCGGGUCUCUGGGCCGAUAUUGACGCUGAGGAGCGAAAGCGUGGGGAGCAAACAGG
rnacentral:rRNA from 1 species